GCCCUGGUGGCACAAAGGUUAAGCAUUCAGCUGCUAACCGAAAAGCUGGUGGUUCAAACCCAGCCAGUGGCU
rfam:Loxodonta africana unplaced genomic scaffold scaffold_23, whole genome shotgun sequence.